UUUGCUGUGGUAUUUUGACUAUACAAAGGUAUUGAAAUAAGAUUUUAAUUGAAUGCUAAGAGAAUGGAAUUUCAGGGAAAAGUUUUUUUAAAUUUAAUAAUUAAAGUUAUUUUAAUUUGUGAAGAAACAAUUAUAUAAAUUAAGGACAAGAAGACCCUAAGAAUUUAAGAAUUCUUAUGUUACUUAAAUAUAAACUAGGAAUUCUUAGUUGGGGCAACUAAAAAACAUUAUAAACUUUUUUUCUUUAAAAUGACCCAUUAUUAAUGAUAAUAUGAUUAAAUACUCUAGGGAUGAACAGCGUAAUAACUGUUUUUGGAUAGAUCUUAUAGACAAAAUAGUUUGCGACCUCGAUGUUGGAUUAGGAUUCUUAUUUAAUGAAGAUGUUAAAUAAAGAAGUUUGUUCAACUUUUAAAUUCCUACAUGAUCUGAGUUCAGACCGGA
rnacentral:rRNA from 1 species